GCCAACAAACUAGGCCACCAUGACCACGCUGGGGAACAGGUCAUUUUAACCUUGGUGAAACAGACCUACAGGGAAGGAUGUACAGGGAUUUUAUGAAAAAGUCAUCCUAGAAACAGCACCGCAAAGUGUGCUGCCCUGACGAAUAGGCCGUGCAUUCCAAGACAUAGAUGCCUUCCUAGACUGAAUAGCAAAGGCUUUCUACUUCACACACAGCAUUGUAUUACACAUAUACGUUUCGCAAAGGUGAAUAACUUCUUUUCUUUCUCGAUGUAGCCAGCCUGAUCCGAAGGACGUGACGGUCCACUCAUCUGAAUUAACAGAGGGAUCAGAGACUGAAGAUGACGAAUAUGAGAAGGAACAUGAGGGACAUCAUUCUAAAUCCCAUGUGCAUCGAACGCUAAAUCCAGAGGAACGUCUCUUCCUGGUGGCGGAGUCAAGUCUGCGAGAGCUCCUGUCACAGUGUCCUUGUGGCAGCAGCGAUGCUGAAACAGACAUCACAACAAGGGGCACAUGGCUGAGAGCAGCAACAGCUUGCCG